rnacentral:rRNA from 2 species
UCCCUUCGGGGUGACGCUUGUGGAAUGAGCGGCGGACGGGUGAGUAACACGUGGGCAACCUACCUUGUAGACUGGGAUAACUCCGGGAAACCGGAGCUAAUACGGGAUGAUCAUUUGAAUCGCAUGAUUGAAAUGUAAAAGUGGGGAGUAAUCCUCACACUACGAGAUGGGCCCGCGGCGCAUUAGCUAGUUGGUAAGGUAAUGGCUUACCAAGGCAACGAUGCGUAGCCGACCUGAGAGGGUGAUCGGCCACACUGGAACUGAGACACGGUCCAGACUCCUACGGGAGGCAGCAGUAGGGAAUCAUCCGCAAUGGGCGAAAGCCUGACGGUGCAACGCCGCGUGAACGAUGAAGGUUUUCGGAUCGUAAAGUUCUGUUAUGAGGGAAGAACAAGUGCCGUUCGAAUAGGGCGGCACCUUGACGGUACCUCACGAGAAAGCCCCGGCUAACUACGUGCCAGCAGCCGCGGUAAUACGUAGGGGGCAAGCGUUGUCCGGAAUUAUUGGGCGUAAAGCGCGCGCAGGCGGUCUCUUAAGUCUGAUGUGAAAGCCCACGGCUCAACCGUGGAGGGUCAUUGGAAACUGGGAGACUUGAGUGUAGGAGAGGAAAGUGGAAUUCCACGUGUAGCGGU